GUUUGCUGUGAACGUCACACUUUUAUGUUCACAGACUGUAGAGCUAGUCAUAAACUCACGGUCAAUGUUAUCAACGAUCAGCUGAUCAAGAAAACUUAAAGAGAGAACUGUGAGACCAAACACUGUUGGUUUUUUGGAUAAACCAGGUUAAAAGAUGAAAUUAACCAAGACAAAAACAAACUGGCUUCUCAUAUUGAUUCUUGCAUUUCACAUGACUUCUUCAGAAGCUUCUCUGUGGUACAUUUGGGAACCACUGACGUCUAUAUUGAUGUUAAACCUGCACACACAGACUUGUGUCUUCAUUAUCAUCAAGAAGAAUAUAUACACAGUGGAGAUCAAAAUUAGAGAACAACCUGUAAUUUCCUAGAUUUCAAGGUCACAGCUUAGUCCUAUCUGAAGUUAUCCUAAAAGGAAUAGAAGAGCAGUUUUUAAGCAUAUUUCAUAAAUUAAUUGUAUUCUGAAGCACAGUAUAACAAAUUUAAAUGAGAUAUUUUAAAAAGAAUUCUGACCAAAAUUAGAGAACGCUUACAGAUACCUAAAAGUUAUUGGUGUUAAUCUGGCACAUGGUACUAAUUUCCUUAAUUAUCUGACAAACUCUAUUGAACUGGCAGCAUUGCUCCAAUUUUCACUGAGAUUGCUAUAUAGCGGUCUGCUCUAAGGUGACUGAAACCCUUAAACAAGAGGCCAACCAGAUGAAGGCCAAAGGGACUGGUGGUUCCAAAUCUGUGAUUUCUUAAAUAUAACAGGUUUAUGAUGACAUUAAUUCAUUCAAGACCACCAAAAAGGCUGGUCAUCAUGUAAGACAAAUGCAUGAGAAGAGAGGAUAAUGCAGAGACUCUCAAUGGUGAAUCGGUUCAACACUGCAGCUGGAAUUGCUCUCCGGCUCAGAGCUGAACAGGGUCUGGAUCUGUCUCGGCAUGUUUAAGAGACGUCGGACUGAAAGCACACUGCAGUGACCAAGCCUCUCAUCAACUGAAAGAAUCGGAAGCUUCUCAUAAUGAUGAUGAUGACGAGGUGAGGAUCCUGAUGGUGGGAAUCCGAGGUCAGUCCAGAUUCAGUGCUGCAGAUCUUCUGUCAGGAAGGAAAGACGGUGGACAGGAGGACAGAGAGAUUGUAAAGACUCCAGUAAUUACAGACGAGGCUCGUAGAAUGAUGCUGAUCACUGGACCGAACCUCUGUGAGGAGGACACAGAGAGACAGACCUUCAUAACAGCACUGUUUCUCUCGUCUCCUGGACCUCACGCCGUUCUAAUGCUCCUGAAUCUGGAAGAUCAACAAUCACAACAGUGUGAUAUUGUGAAACGAGCUCAGGAGCUGCUGGGAGCAGAAGUCCUGCAGUACUGCAUUGUUCUUCUGCUGCAAAAUCACCAGGAACCUUUCACAGGAGCCUCCAGAGAAAUGAUCGACGCAUGUGGAGGAAGAUUUCUCAUCAUAAGAGACUCUGAACCUAAACCUGCUCAAAGAGCAGCUCUCGUAGCAGAAAUACACAAGUUAGUUUGGCUCAACGAUCACAGAUUUUACUCAGUAGUGACUCAAGGGUUGGAUGCAGAAGAGUCCAGUCAAAGUGUGCAUGAAGAAAAUAAGAUGCUCCCUGAAAAACAUGACAAUUCAGCAGGAACUGCACGAUGGAUUUUACUAAUUUUACUGAACACUGCUUUUAUUUUCACUAAAGUAAGACAUGACCAUUUUCAUUUUGCGGAAAUACUCUUCGUGCUUGUUAUUUUUACCGUCACUUUAAGAGAGACUCUCAAUCCAGAUGUUUCUGUUCCUUUAAAUUUGAUUGUAUCCUCAACUUUCACAGUAGCCUCUGCAUAUAAAGACUUCGCAAAUUCACGACAUGGACACCAAAUCAUAAUGUUUUUAGUCAUGAUCUUUACAUUUCCCAGUAUAGUGUUCAUAGCCGGUCUAGGACUGACUGUAGGAACAGCGGUCAGUGUACGGACGUGGUCAGAUGUGAUCAUAGCGUGCCACGCUGCUCCCGGAGUCACAUUCGGGGCUCAUUUAUACACGGUUUACUCCAUUAUACCUGAUCAAAUGCAAGCUCGUACAACUCUCAUUUUUGCACUCAAGUUAUUCCUGUUCUGUUUCGUUGGAGUGAUGCUCUCGAUGGGGUUUGUGACUGUAUUUGCUCUGUUUGGAGUGAAGAUGACAAUAUUUCUGCUAAUAUUAGGAUUUACAAAAAUGUAUUUCCAUUUAAAGAGUCUUUCUCUGAAAUUGUUUAUUUUUUUCCUGCUUUUUCCAUGCUGUUGUGUAUUUAUUGGUUCUUUAAUUUCAUUUUUAUACAGUUUAUUAUUUCAUUAUAUUUUAACAGUAAUUUGAAACCGAUAAUAGUGACUAAAUCACAAGAGACACUUACAGAUUUUGGAUCAUAAGUUAAUGCUGAUAUUGAUAUUGAUGUUUCUUCAACUAUGGGUAUUUUUGGCACUGUGUACUUUCAGGAAAUAAUCACUCUUACAACCCAUCUUAUUUAAUUUCUUUACUAAUGAUCAUUUAACAUCAAUAAAGACAUCACAGGAAAAUCUUGAACAUUUACUGUGCAAUGUCAUUUCCACCAAAUUUCAAAUGAUAUAUUAUGUUUAUCAGCAUUUUAUUACUGGAAUAAAAUGGCUAUUUUCAUAGUUUGAAUUUUAUGUAUGUAAAUACACACAUUCAAAAAUAUA
ensembl:lncRNA